rfam:Triticum urartu cultivar G1812 contig618910, whole genome shotgun sequence.
CAACUAAUCCCUCUGUCCCAAAUUUCUUGUCUUAGAUUUGUCUAGAUACGGAUGUAUCUAAUACUAAAAUGUGACUUGAUACAUCCGUAUCUAGACAAAUCUAAGACAAGAAUUUUGGGACGGAGGGAGUACUUU